CCUACGGGUGGCAGCAGUGAGGAAUAUUGGUCAAUGGACGAGAGUCUGAACCAGCCAAGUCGCGUGAAGGAUGACUGCCCUAUGGGUUGUAAACUUCUUUUAUAUGGGAAUAAAAUGUUCCACGUGUGGGAUUUUGUAUGUACCAUAUGAAUAAGCAUCGGCUAACUCCGUGCCAGCAGCCGCGGUAAUACGGAGGAUCCGAGCGUUAUCCGGAUUUAUUGGGUUUAAAGGGUGCGUAGGUGGAUUGUUAAGUCAGUCGGGAAAGUUUGCGGCUCAACCGUAAAAGUGCAGUUGAAACUGGCGGUCUUGAGUACAGUAGAGGUGGGCGGAAUUCGUGGUGUAGCGGUGAAAUGCUUAGAUAUCACGAAGAACUCCGAUUGCGAAGGCAGCUCACUGGACUGCAACUGACACUGAGGCUCGAAAGUGUGGGUAUCAAACAGGAUUAGAUACCCGAGUAGUC
rnacentral:rRNA from 1 species